AUACAUGCAAGUCGAGCGCGGGAAACCGGCGGACUCCUUCGGGAGGAAACCGGUGGAACGAGCGGCGGACGGGUGAGUAACACGUGGGCAACCUGCCGGACUGAUGGGAAUAACCCCGGGAAACCGGGGCUAAUGCCCAAUACGCCCUGACCUCGCCUGAGGUCAGCGGUAAAGCAGGGAUCUUCGGAUCCUUGCACAGUCCGAUGGGCCCGCGGCGCAUUAGCUAGUUGGAGAGGUAAGGGCUCCCCAAGGCGACGAUGCGUAGCCGACCUGAGAGGGUGAUCGGCCACACUGGGACUGAGACACGGCCCAGACUCCUACGGGAGGCAGCAGUAGGGAAUCAUCCGCAAUGGGCGAAAGCCUGACGGUGCAACGCCGCGUGAGUGAUGAAGGUUUUCGGAUCGUAAAGCUCUGUUGACAGGGAAGAACCCACGCCAGUCGAACAGGCUGGCGUGCUGACGGUACCUGUCCAGAAAGCCCCGGCUAACUACGUGCCAGCAGCCGCGGUAAUACGUAGGGGGCAAGCGUUGUCCGGAAUUAUUGGGCGUAAAGGGCACGCAGGCGGUUUCGUCAGUCCGAUGUGACAGGCCACGGCUCAACCGUGGAAGGCCAUUGGAAACUGCGAAACUUGAGGACAGAAGAGGAGAGUGGAAUUCCACGUGUAGCGGUGAAAUGCGUAGAUAUGUGGAGGAACACCAGUGGCGAAGGCGACUCUCUGGUCUGUACCUGACGCUGAGGUGCGAAAGCAUGGGGAGCAAACAGGAUUAGAUACCCUGGUAGUCCAUGCCGUAAACGCUGAGUGCUAGGUGUUAGGGGUUUCGAUACCCGUAGUGCCGAAGCUAACGCAUUAAGCACUCCGCCUGGGGAGUACGACCGCAAGGUUGAAACUCAAAGGAAUUGACGGGGGCCCGCACAAGCGGUGGAGCAUGUGGUUUAAUUCGACGCAACGCGAAGAACCUUACCAGAUCUUGACAUCUUCCGCUACGCCUCGAGAGAGGCGGUUCCCCUUCGGGGGACGGAAUGACAGGUGGUGCAUGGUUGUCGUCAGCUCGUGUCGUGAGAUGUUGGGUUAAGUCCCGCAACGAGCGCAACCCCUAAUCUUAGUUGCCAGCAUUCAGUUGGGCACUCUAAGGUGACUGCCGGUGACAAACCGGAGGAAGGUGGGGAUGACGUCAAAUCAUCAUGCCCCUUAUGAUCUGGGCUACACACGUGCUAC
rnacentral:rRNA from 1 species